AUUGAACGCUGGCGGCAUGCCUUACACAUGCAAGUCGAACGGUAACGCGGGGCAACCUGGCGACGAGUGGCUAACGGGUGAGUAACUCAUCGGAACGUGCCCAGUAGUGGGGGAUAGCCCGGCGAAAGCCGGAUUAAUACCGCAUACGACACGAGGGUGAAAGCGGGGGAUCGCAAUACCUCGUCAGAUGGGAUCGGCCGAUAUCAGAUUAGGUAGUUGGUGAGGUAAAGGCUCACCAAGCCGACGAUCUGUAGCUGGUCUGAGAGGACGACCAGCCACACUGGGACUGAGACACGGCCCAGACUCCUACGGGAGGCAGCAGUGGGGAAUUUUGGACAAUGGGCGCAAGCCUGAUCCAGCCAUGCCGCGUGCGGGAAGAAGGCCUUCGGGUUGUAAACCGCUUUUGUCAGGGAAGAAAAGGUUCUGGCUAAUACCUGGGACUCAUGACGGUACCUGAAGAAUAAGCACCGGCUAACUACGUGCCAGCAGCCGCGGUAAUAC
rnacentral:rRNA from 1 species